rnacentral:rRNA from 1 species
CCUACGGGUGGCAGCAGUGAGGAAUAUUGGUCAAUGGACGAGAGUCUGAACCAGCCAAGUAGCGUGAAGGAUGACUGCCCUAUGGGUUGUAAACUUCUUUUAUAUGGGAAUAAAACGUUCCACGUGUGGGAUUUUGUAUGUACUAUAUGAAUAAGCAUCGGCUAACUCCGUGCCAGCCGCCGCGGUAAUACGGAGGAUCCGAGCGUGCUCCGGAUUUAUUGGGUUUAAAGGGAGCGUAGGCGGAUUGUUAAGUCAGUUGUGAAAGUUUGAGGCUCAACCGUAGAAUUGCAGUUGAAACUGGCAGGCUUGAGUACAGUAGAGGUGGGCGGAAUUCGUGGUGUAGCGGUGAAAUGCUUAGAUAUCACGAAGAACUCCGAUUGCGAAGGCAGUUCACUGGACUGCAACUGACACUGAGGCUCGAAAGUGUGGGUAUCAAACAGGAUUAGAUACCCCAGUAGUC